UACGUAGGGGGCAAGCGUUGUCCGGAUUUAUUGGGCGUAAAGAGCGUGUAGGCGGCUUUACAGGUCCGUUGUGAAAACUCGAGGCUCAACCUCGAGACGCCGGUGGAAACCGUAAAGCUAGAGUCCGGAAGAGGAGAGUGGAAUUCCUGGUGUAGCGGUGAAAUGUGUAGAGAUCGGGAGGAACACCGGUGGCGAAGGCGGGUCUCUGGGCAUCUCCUGACGCUGAGGCGCGAAAGCGUGGGGAGCAAACGGG
rnacentral:rRNA from 1 species